AACGAACGCUGGCGGCAUGCCUAACACAUGCAAGUCGAACGAGACCUUCGGGUCUAGUGGCGCACGGGUGCGUAACGCGUGGGAACCUGCCCUUAGGUUCGGAAUAACUCCCCGAAAGGGGUCCUAAUACCGGAUAAUGUCUUCGGACCAAAGAUUUAUCGCCUUUGGAUGGGCCCGCGUUGGAUUAGCUAGUUGGUAGUGUAAAAGCCUACCAAGGCGACGAUCCAUAGCUGGUCUGGGAGGAUGAUCAGCCACACUGGGACUGAGACACGGCCCAGACUCCUACGGGAGGGAGCAGUGGGGAAUACUAGACAAGGGGGGAAAGUCUGAUACAGCAAUGCCGGGGAAGAGAUGAAGGCCUUAGUGUUGUAAAGCUCUUUUACCCGGGAUGAUAAUGACGGUACCGGGAGAAUAAGCGCCGGCUAACUCCGUG
rnacentral:rRNA from 1 species